AUUGAACGCUGGCGGCAGGCCUAACACAUGCAAGUCGAACGAGUGGCAGAGGGGUGAGUAAUGUCUGUGAAACUGCCCGAUGUUGGGGGAUAACUACUGGAAACGGUGGCUAAUACCGCAUACCAUCGGAUGUGCCCAGAUGGGAAUAGCUAGUAGGUGGGGUAACGGCUCACCUAGGCGACGAUCCCGAGCUGGUCUGAGAGGAUGAACAGCCAAACUGGAACUGAGACACGGUCCAGACUCCUACGGGAGGCAGCAGUGGGGAAUAUGGCACAAUGGGCGCAAGCCGGAUGCAGCCAUGCCGCGUGUAUGAAGAAGGCCUUCGGGUUGUAAAGUACUUUCAGCGAGGAGGCGUGACUCGCAGAAGAAGCACCGGCUAACUCCGUGCCAGCAGCCGCGGUAAUUC
rnacentral:rRNA from 1 species